rnacentral:misc_RNA from 1 species
AAUGUGUAUCUUUAUUGGAGAUGUGCGCUUAAUUGCGCUGCUUCAUUAGAGUGUCGCAGUAGAAGUAGUCUUGCUUGAAUCUCAGUCAACGUUUACACACAUUGGAGUUUUUUACUUUAAUUUAAUUCUUUCUGCUUUGAAUCGAAAGGUUCAAGGCAAAAAACAAACACAAACAAUUUUAUUUUAUUAUAAUUUUUUAAACUAAACCAAAAUUCCUAACGGAAAUUUUAAAAUAAUUUAAAACUUUCAACAACGGAUCUCUUGGUUCUCGCAUCGAUGAAGAACGUAGCGAAUUGCGAUAAGUAAUGUGAAUUGCAGAUACUCGUGAAUCAUUGAAUUUUUGAACGCACAUUGCGCCCUUGAGCAUUCUCAAGGGCAUGCCUGUUUGAGCGUCAUUUCCUUCUCAAAAGAUAAUUUUUUAUUUUUUGGUUGUGGGCGAUACUCAGGGUUAGCUUGAAAUUGGAGACUGUUUCAGUCUUUUUUAAUUCAACACUUAGCUUCUUUGGAGACGCUGUUCUCGCUGUGAUGUAUUUAUGGAUUUAUUCGUUUUACUUUACAAGGGAAAUGGUAAUGUACCUUAGGCAA